rnacentral:rRNA from 1 species
GAUGAACGCUGGCGGCGUGCUUAACACAUGCAAGUCGAACGAUGAAGCCCAGCCUGCUGGGCGGAUUAGUGGCGAACGGGUGAGUAACACGUGAGUAACCUGCCCUUGACUCUGGGAUAAGCCCGGGAAACUGGGUCUAAUGCCGGAUAGGAGCGCCUGUCGCAUGACGGGUGCUGGAAAGAUUUUUCGGUCAUGGAUGGACUCGCGGCCUAUCAGCUUGUUGGUGAGGUAACGGCUCACCAAGGCGACGACGGGUAGCCGGCCUGAGAGGGUGACCGGCCACACUGGGACUGAGACACGGCCCAGACUCCUACGGGAGGCAGCAGUGGGGAAUAUUGCACAAUGGGCGGAAGCCUGAUGCAGCGACGCCGCGUGAGGGAUGACGGCCUUCGGGUUGUAAACC